CUUACAACAUGUGCCGGGUGAAGAGUGCACCAGAGAAGCCUCUUACUAUUGAUACAGUAUCUUUUUGUCUAGACUCGUUGCCGUGAUUACCUCACCAGUACGACAUCCGACACAAGUUUACAGCUAGCCAUGUCGAACCGGAUGCCUGUUCGAGUUGAGCCACCGGCCUAUUUCUGGCAUCUGUUAUGUGUUUCAUACGCCGGAAAACUGUGUUUUUCCGCUUAACUUUCACUCCUUUCGAUGUGAAAAAGGGACUUGCAAUGCCGUCUUUGUGUCUUUGUAGCUUUUGCUUCGGAACUGCAGUAGACUAGAUUUGUGUAAGAGCUGAUACAGGAGGUUCUCGGUCGAGCGUGAUGCCCAAGACUGUCUUGUCUUGGAUUAUGUCAUUUUGCCACCGAGGGACCAGUUCUUUAUACCUGAUAGAUAAGGGGGAAAACGCAACGCCGCAAUCGGUUAUUGGCUGCGUCGCUGCUUGAUGUUUGUUAACAGCAAGAGACACUUCCACUACCGCACCUUCUUUGACUCGUCAAUAUCUCAUAUACAACAGACCCCUCAUUAGGCCAUCAUUCUGUGUCAGAACCGUCAUCAGUUAAGAGAAUGU
rnacentral:lncRNA from 1 species